rnacentral:lncRNA from 1 species
GGUCCUGGAGUUUAUACCAAGAUUCCAGACCGAUUCCAAAUGAAGAUCCUUUAACAACACUGACCACUCCCAGCAACCCGUAGAACCAAGGACGACUUUCACUUUCAGAAGCUUUUAAAAGGAAAGGACCUUAGACUAGAAAUGAUGCCUUACUACAAGGGACAGCAUCUGGAAUCUGACACUAUGAAACUGGGGCCUAAAUUGCAAUGGUCAUCCCGCGUGGUAGAGAUACAGGGAAUACAGAACGCAUCCUAAGGAAAGCUGAACCCAGUGGAGCCAGCCCAAAGUGAUGCAGCGCCAUCCGGAUGCCACCUCCAUGAAGCCCGCAGGUCGGACUCACAGCAGAGGGACUGGUGUUUGCCUUGCAGCUUUUCUCUCAUUAAUAUUGCCUUUCCAUUCUCAUGCCCUCCCUACUUGAAAAGGGUAUGUUUGCCACCAGCUAUGGGAAGCACGUGACUCGAGCUUCACUUUCACGGUUGCUCGCGGCUAAGACGUAGCUCUGAGUUUCAGAAGAGACUCUGGAUUUGGAUUUCUGAAUGGCGUUGGGACUGGGACCUCAAGAAGACCUGGAUACCGCGAAAAGACCGUGUUUUACCAGAUUCACUGCACCAUUCGAAAUCUUCUGAGAUCAUAAAUAGCUGUCAACAUGAUUUCCAGAGAUCCAAGGAAAAGGCACACUUGGGACGAGGGCUGUGUCCUCUUGUCCCCACCCCCAUGUUCCACCCCACUUUCUUUAGUAACCAGCUUUGAGGACAGCUGGUUUUUCUCCCCACGUUUCCCUCAUUAUGGACAGUAUUGGGAACUGAACCCCAGACCUUGCUCUACCAGUGAGCUAGCUGCAGCCAAGCUAUUCUUUCUUUGUUUCAGUUAGUAGCAUUGCCAAUUUUAAAUCACUUAAUGAAUUCAUUGCAAUGUGCUUUGUGCAAAGGCAUGUAUUCACACUUAGACUAUACAGAUCUACCAGCUAAGAUUCCAGUAGGAGACACAGACACUCCUUAAGAUGGCUUUCUGUCUCCUGAAAAGGGACUCUCAGCCCUUAUAGGGCAGAGUUCAGUGGAUGAGGGCAGAAGCUCUGGGCGAGUAUCCCAGAGUUCAGAGCCUGAGUCUGGUGGGAAGAGUCUGCUUUGGUCACUGGAACUAUGAAGAAGAGUUGCAGAGAGUUGACUGCAUUUAAGCAGCCCCUCCUUCGUCCAGAGGGCUUGCCAGAUGGUAAAUAUUCUGACCUUUUCUCCUGUAGGGUACCCCCAAAUAGUAGUUCAGGAGAUAAAGAGCCUAUAGUAGAGACUAUACCUGCUCAGUCUGUCUG